rnacentral:rRNA from 1 species
UACGUAGGGGGCAAGCGUUGUCCGGAAUCACUGGGCGUAAAGGGCGCGUAGGCGGCCUGAUAAGUAGGGGGUGAAAUCCUGUGGCUUAACUGCAGGGCUGCCUCCUAGACUGUUAGGCUCGAGCACGGUAGAGGCAGAUGGAAUUCCCGGUGUAGUGGUGGAAUGCGUAGAGAUCGGGAAGAACAUCGGUGGCGAAGGCGGUCUGCUGGGCCGUUGCUGACGCUGAGGCGCGACAGCGUGGGGAGCAAACAGG